GCCGGCGUAGCUCAGUAGGUAGAGCAACUGACUUGUAAUCAGUAGGUCGCGGGUUCGAUUCCUGUCGCCGGCU
rnacentral:tRNA from 1 species